rnacentral:rRNA from 1 species
AUGUAGCGGUGAAAUGCUUAGAGAUGUCGCAGAACACCGAUUGCGAAGGCAGCUAACGAGGAUGUAACUGACGCUCAUGCACGAAAGCGUGGGGAUCAAACAGGAUUAGAUACCCUGGUAGUCCACGCCCUAAACGAUGAUCACUCGUUGUUAGACAUUUAUGUUUAGUGGCUAAGGGAAACCGAUAAGUGAUCCACCUGGGGAGUAGGAUCGCAAGGUUGAAACUCAAAGGAAAUGACGGGGGCCCGCACAAGCGGAGGAGCAUGUGGUUUAAUUCGAUGAUACGCGAGGAACCUUACCUGGGCUCGAACGUGUGAAGACGUGAGGGGAAACUUUCAUUCUAGCAAUAGCUUCAUACGAGGUGCUGCAUGGUUGUCGUCAGCUCGUGCCGUGAGGUGUGAGGUUAAGUCCCAUAACGAGCGCAACCCCUACUUUUAGUUGCCAGCAUGUCAUGAUGGGGACUCUAAAAGAACUGCCAGCGCAAGCUGUGAGGAAGGUGGGGAUGACGUCAAAUCAGCACGGCCCUUAUGUCCAGGGCUACACACGUGCUACAAUGGUCGAUACAGAGGGCAGCUACUUUUGUGACAAGAUGCAAAUCUCGAAAAUCGAUCUCAGUUCGGAUCGGAGUCUGUAACUCGACUCCGUGAAGUUGGAUUCGCUAGUAAUCGCAUAUCAGCCAUGAUACGGUGAAUACGUACCCGGGCCUUGUACACACCGCCCGU